AUACGUAGGGGGCGAGCGUUGUCCGGAAUGAUUGGGCGUAAAGGGCGCGUAGGCGGCCCGGUAAGUCUGGAGUGAAAGUCCUGUUUUUAAGAUGGGAAUUGCUUUGGAUACUGUCGGGCUUGAGUGCAGGAGAGGUAAGUGGAAUUCCCAGUGUAGCGGUGAAAUGCGUAGAGAUUGGGAGGAACACCAGUGGCGAAGGCGACUUACUGGACUGUAACUGACGCUGAGGCGCGAAAGUGUGGGGAGCAAACAGAAUUAGAUACCCUGGUAGUCCACGCUGUAAACGAUGAAUGCUAGGUGUAAGAGGUAUCGACCCCUUUUGUGCCGGAGUCAACACAAUAAGCAUUCCGCCUGGGGAGUACGGCCGCAAGGUUGAAACUCAAAUGAAUUGACGGGG
rnacentral:rRNA from 1 species